GACGAACGCUGGCGGCGUGCCUAAUACAUGCAAGUCGAGCGAAGCGGCGGAUGGGUGAGUAACGCGUGGGUAACCUGCCCUUAAGUCUGGGCAACCAUUUGGAACCAGAGGCAAAUACCGGCUACUACAGGAUGGCCUUGCGAUGCAUUAGCUAGUUGGGAAGGUAAAGGCUUACCAAGGGGAUGAUGCAUAGCCGAGUUGAGAGGAUGACCAGCCACACUGGAACUGAGACACGGUCCAGACUCCUACGGGAGGCAGCAGUGGGGAAUAUUGCACAAUGGGCGCAAGCCUGAUGCAGCCAUGCCGCGUGUAUGAAGAAGGCCUUCGGGUUGUAAAGUACUUUCAGCGAGGAGGCGUUACUCGCAGAAGAAGCACCGGCUAACUCCGUGCCAGCAGCCGCGGUAAUAC
rnacentral:rRNA from 1 species